AAAGUCCAAUCGAACCUCCUAGUAGCUGGUUUCCGCCGAAAUUUCCCUCAGGAUAGCGGCCAUCGCGGAAACGUUUUGACCGGUAGAGCGAACGACUAGAGGUACCGGGGCCGUAACGGCCUCGACCUAUUCUCGAACUCCGAACGGGCAAGGAGCCGGGGUCGCCCGAUCGGACCCCGGACGUGAAGUCGACGAUGGUCGGUGGGCCAUUUUUGGUAAGCAGAACUGGCGAUGUGGGAUGAACCAAACGUAAAGUUAAAGUGCCUAAAAAUACGUUCAUCAGAUACCACAAAAAGGUGUUGAUUCAUCUUGACAGUUGGACAGUGGCCAUGGAAGUCGGAAUUUGCUAAGGAGUGUGUAACAACUCACCAACCGAAUGAAUUAGCCCUGAAAAUGGAUGGCGCUUAAACGUAUUACUUAUAC
rnacentral:rRNA from 1 species